rfam:Candidatus Muproteobacteria bacterium RIFCSPLOWO2_01_FTLL_60_18 rifcsplowo2_01_scaffold_39343, whole genome shotgun sequence.
AUGGACUGUCGUGUCCACUCCGGUUCCUGCGCUCCGUCCUCACCCGGCUGACGGCCGCUCGCGACGUUUUUGAGAU